rnacentral:lncRNA from 1 species
CUCCAGGUGACUGUCUUCACCUUUAUUGCAUCUUAUUAAAGAAAUGUACUGGGAUCAGGAUCCCAACAAAAAGGUGUGUUUUUUUUUUAUUAUUUUUUUGAUGGCUUAUGUUAAAUAGAUCAUCAGAUUAGAUCAUUGUAAGGUUUCAUGUUAACCUUAAAAAUUGAUAUCCAUGAAAUAAAACGGCAAAAGCUGAGUUUUAUAUGAAAAAUAUUUAGAACAUAAACACAUACGUAUUUUUUUAAUAUAUAUAUACAUAUAAAUAUGUGGUUUUAUACAUACAGAGUGGCAGCACUAAUAGUAAUAGUGCAGCAGCAGAAAACUUUAGCUGUGUUUAAGGGACAGUGGGGGAAUGACUUAGCAGGGAGGUUUUUUUUCCUGAGAAAUAACUUUUAAACUGCUUCACAUGGCUCAGAGACUGGGAAUCAGUAUCAGUGGGGAAGGAAAGAAAUAAGAAAUGUUUAGAAAUACCAGUGUUUCCAAACAUAAAUAUUUCCAUUUCUGGUUUGAUAUAUCUGUUUAAAUCCUUUCAGGUUCCCGUGGAGGAAUAAAACAGCCUAAAGUGCAAUGAAGGUGCCUCAGUACUCCUGAAGGAAAAUUCCCUUCCAGCUAGCCAACACAUAACGUAAAAGGUCACGUUAUUCCUGAGAGCAAGGACCAGAAUCCUACAGCUAUCUCCUGCCACUAUCUGAUAGGUAAGUUGUCUCUCUUGUUUCCUUGGGGGACACUUAAAUGUUUCUGGGGAAAUGUCGUGGGAACUUCCAGGUCAAAGAGGGAAGCCUGCAGUUGCUUUUCGGUUCUCAUAUUGUUAGGCUGUGUGGACAGACGAUGGUCUGAGUUGUUGUUUGAGGUUAGAACCAGACACUUCCACACCAACGUAGGCAGUAUUACUGGAUAUGGGCCAAGAAGUUUAUGCUAAAAUUUUAGUAUCAUUAAGUUAUAUCAAGCAUAGCUCUACAACAAUCAAAUACUCAUUUCCUAGCUUGAGGCUCUCAUUUCACACUCUGAAUGAAUAAAAUACAGCCCGACCAAACA